rnacentral:rRNA from 1 species
UACGUAGGGUGCAAGCGUUGUCCGGAUUUAUUGGGCGUAAAGAGCUCGUAGGCGGUUUGUCGCGUCUGCUGUGAAAACUCGGGGCUUAACUCCGGGCCUGCAGUGGGUACGGGCAGACUAGAGUGCGGUAGGGGAGAUCGGAAUUCCUGGUGUAGCGGUGAAAUGCGCAGAUAUCAGGAGGAACACCGGUGGCGAAGGCGGAUCUCUGGGCCGUAACUGACGCUGAGGAGCGAAAGCAUGGGGAGCGAACAGG